UUAUUUCUGUUCAGUCAGUCUCCCCAUUGAUUGCCAGGGGGUUGAUUUGGCUGAUCUGGCUGGCUAGGCAGGUGCCCCCUUCCUCCUUCACUGCUCCAUGUGUGUCCUUUCCUGAAGCUGUGGGCCUGAAGAAGACAAACACCUCCAACAGUAGAGAACCAUUUCCUCCAUUAGGGGUGCACAAGUAGCUGCCCUGCCCUGCGAGAACCUCCAAACAAGCUCUCAAGAGGAAUGAUUCAAUUUAAAAACUGGAUAAUGAACCUGAACAGACAUUUACCAAAGAAAGAU
rnacentral:snRNA from 1 species